CGGAGGGUGCGAGCGUUGUCCGGAAUCACUGGGCGUAAAGGGCGCGUAGGUGGCCCGUCAAGCGCGCGGUGAAAGCCCGGGGCUCAACCCCGGGUCGGCCGUGCGGACUGGCGGGCUCGAGCACUGUAGGGGCGGGUGGAAUUCCGGGUGUAGCGGUGGAAUGCGUAGAGAUCCGGAAGAACACCGGUGGCGAAGGCGGCCCGCUGGGCAGGAAGACGGGGCAACCCGUCGGCUGACACUGAGGCGCGACAGCGUGGGGAGCAAACAGGAUUAGAUACCCUGGUAGUCCACGCCGUAAACGAUGGGCACUAGGUGCCUGGGGGAGCGACCCCCCGGGUGCCGGCGCUAACGCAUUAAGUGCCCCGCCUGGGGAGUACGGCCGCAAGGCUG
rnacentral:rRNA from 1 species